rnacentral:rRNA from 1 species
GACGAACGCUGGCGGCGUGCUUAACACAUGCAAGUCGAACGGAAAGGCCCUGCUUUUGUGGGGUGCUCGAGUGGCGAACGGGUGAGUAACACGUGAGUAACCUGCCCUUGACUUUGGGAUAACUUCAGGAAACUGGGGCUAAUACCGGAUAGGAGCUCCUGCUGCAUGGUGGGGGUUGGAAAGUUUCGGCGGUUGGGGAUGGACUCGCGGCUUAUCAGCUUGUUGGUGGGGUAGUGGCUUACCAAGGCUUUGACGGGUAGCCGGCCUGAGAGGGUGACCGGCCACAUUGGGACUGAGAUACGGCCCAGACUCCUACGGGAGGCAGCAGUGGGGAAUAUUGCACAAUGGGCGGAAGCCUGAUGCAGCAACGCCGCGUGCGGGAUGACGGCCUUCGGGUUGUAAACCGCUUUCGCCUGUGACGAAGCGUGAGUGACGGUAAUGGGUAAAGAAGCACCGGCUAACUACGUGCCAGCAGCCGCGGUGAUACGUAGGGUGCGAGCGUUGUCCGGAUUUAUUGGGCGUAAAGGGCUCGUAGGUGGUUGAUCGCGUCGGAAGUGUAAUCUUGGGGCUUAACCCUGAGCGUGCUUUCGAUACGGGUUGACUUGAGAAGGUAGGGGAGAAUGGAAUUCCUGGUGGAGCGGUGGAAUGCGCAGAUAUCAGGAGGAACACCAGUGGCGAAGGCGGUUCUCUGGGCCUUUCCUGACGCUGAGGAGCGAAAGCGUGGGGAGCGAACAGGCUUAGAUACCCUGGUAGUCCACGCUGUAAACGGUGGGUACUAGGUGUGGGGUCCAUUCCACGGGUUCCGUGCCGUAGCUAACGCUUUAAGUACCCCGCCUGGGGAGUACGGCCGCAAGGCUAAAACUCAAAGGAAUUGACGGGGCCCCGCACAAGCGGCGGAGCAUGCGGAUUAAUUCGAUGCAACGCGUAGAACCUUACCUGGGUUUGACAUGGAUCGGGAGUGCUCAGAGAUGGGUGUGCCUCUUUUGGGGUCGGUUCACAGGUGGUGCAUGGCUGUCGUCAGCUCGUGUCGUGAGAUGUUGGGUUAAGUCCCGCAACGAGCGCAACCCCUGUUCACUGUUGCCAGCACGUUAUGGUGGGGACUCAGUGGAGACCGCCGGGGUCAACUCGGAGGAAGGUGGGGAUGACGUCAAGUCAUCAUGCCCCUUAUGUCCAGGGCUUCACGCAUGCUACAAUGGCUGGUACAGAGAGUGGCGAGCCUGUGAGGGUGAGCGAAUCUCGGAAAGCCGGUCUCAGUUCGGAUUGGGGUCUGCAACUCGACCUCAUGAAGUCGGAGUCGCUAGUAAUCGCAGAUCAGCAACGCUGCGGUGAAUACGUUCCCGGG